GGUUGCUCUCUCUGGGCUGCAAAGACACGAAGCAGCAAUGCUAUAUAAGGCUUGAACCAGGACAGCACUCCAUAAAUAUCGGCCUUCAGAAACUGGGAGUCAAGUCUCCAAUAUGUUUGUGUACAACACUGACUAUUAGCACAGUAGGAAGGAGAAAGAAGAAUCCCCAGCAUUAAGUAGAGCUACCACCUACUUGUGCCUGAUGUCCACUCCUCGCCCUGACGAGUCACCUGGUAGGUUCCGGACCCGAUCUGCGUCGUGAGACCUUGAGGCUCCAGAUGCAAGCUGCAAGAAAUGCUAGAGACUUUUUAAGUCCUCCAGACCCCUUAUCUGGGACCCGUCUUGGGGAAGGAGUAAGCAUUUUUUAUCACAAUCAGUAUAGUUACAGUGUCACCUUCACCUGUUUACCUUGCUUACCUGUGUGGGGAGUCCUUUAUAGCAUACCCUGUUUACU